UUUUGAGGCCUCCUCAGUCAUCUCCUAAACCAGCUCGAACCUGGGGUGGUUUCCUUCGAUCAUUCCUCAUAAAAUAGGUGAUUUGUUGAUGAAUAUUCAUGCCCAGCUCAAAUAACGAAUAUUUUGGCCGUUAGAUAGUUUCACACAUUCUUGGUACCGUUUGAGUAGACUCCUUCGACAAUCUCUUGAUUUAGCCCCGGCAAUAGAAUAAUGCCUCUCGAUCAUAAGUCUUUAAAUGUGUUGUUUGCUGGUGUAUUCUCAAGCCCACGUCAUCAUUUGUACAUGCAAAGUUUGUGUUGGGUGGUUUUGGUGAGCCUUCUCAGUCUUCUCCGCAAUCAUAUCUGUUGAUCCCUUUCUGUGCAAUCUGGUUUGAUAUGAAAUCCACACCAAUUCAGAAGGUCUCAAAGGAAGCAACUGGUUCAAGAUGAACGUACCAAGCAAUUGGUUAUAUUAGGGCUUAGGUAUAUAUUCCAUUAGAAGAAGAACAAGCUAAGUGCUAUGCUAUCCUCUCUCUUGGUUGCGAGUGUGAGUUUCACAUGUAGAUUGUAAUAUUGCUAAAAUGUAGUCAUGUCUCUUCUUCUUUCUUUAUCGUGUUGUAUCGUAGAUCGGAUAAGGG
rnacentral:sRNA from 1 species